GCUUGCAUUUUGCAAUUCCAAACGUAUUUACAGCUAUGUCCCUACCUUCCCUACCCUUUCGUCCAGCAAGGGAGAAAUUAUUACCAGAAACUAUCGAUUGUCCAAAGAUUUCAAUGCAAAAAUCCUAUGAUAUUGAAAGAACCUAACUAUAUUCUAGAUCUCAUUUUGUUUCUUCUUGAUCCUUGAUCCACCUUAAACCCUAGGUAAAUGCAUUCUAAUAGUCAAGCUUUCAUAAUUCGAUAAUUUGCAGCUUGAACUGCGAGAUCCCAUACGUGCUCGCUUCUCUGUGCAAUGGUGGUCUGCAAAUGCCGAAAGGCUACCAAACUUUAUUGUUUUGUGCACAAAGUUCCCGUAUGUGGGGAAUGCAUUUGCUUCCCAGAGCACCAAAUAUGUGUGAUUCGUACUUACUCGGAAUGGGUGAUAGAUGGAGAGUAUGAUUGGC